rnacentral:snoRNA from 15 species
CUGCAACUAUUCAAGAGAUUUGCCUCCCGUGGGGCACGCCUUUUUUCGUUGCGAAAUAAAACAUGUCCUUUAUUCCCGCUCCUGGAUUGUGUUUCUUGCGCGAUGAUAUGGCUAUGACAAUU